rnacentral:rRNA from 1 species
ACGAAAACAACUCUCGGCAACGGAUAUCUCGGCUCUCGCAUCGAUGAAGAACGUAGCGAAAUGCGAUACUUGGUGUGAAUUGCAGAAUCCCGUGAACCAUCAAGUCUUUGAACGCAAGUUGCGCCCGAAGCCGUCAGGCCGAGGGCACGUCUGCCUGGGCGUCACGC